GCCCCCAUCGUCUAGAGGCCUAGGACGCCGGCCUUUCAAGGCGGCAACACGGGUUCGAAUCCCGUUGGGGGUGCCA
rnacentral:tRNA from 1 species